rnacentral:rRNA from 1 species
CUCGGGAAAGCCUUCUUCGGGGGGUAAGUACAGCGGCGCACGGGUGAGUAACACGUAGGUAACCUACCCCAAAGACUGGGAUAACCUGUCGAAAGGCGGGCUAAUACCAGAUAAGACCACGGUGGCUCCGGCUGCUGGGGUAAAAGAUGGCCUCUGCUUGCAAGCCAUUACUUAGGGAUGGGCCUGCGCGCCAUUAGCUAGUUGGCGGGGUAAUGGCCCACCAAGGCGAAGAUGGCUAGCUGGUCUGAGAGGAUGGCCAGCCACACUGGGACUGAGACACGGCCCAGACUCCUACGGGAGGCAGCAGUGGGGAAUUUUGGACAAUGGGCGAAAGCCUGAUCCAGCCAUUCCGCGUGAGUGAAGAAGGCUUUCCAGAGGGG